UACGUAGGAUGCAAGCGUUGUCCGGAAUUAUUGGGCGUAAAGAGCGCGCAGGCGGUGUAUCAAGUCAGAUGUGAAAGAGGCCGGCUUAACCGGCAAGGGUCAUUUGAAACUGAUAGACUAGAGUGCAGCAGAGGAUAGUGGAAUUCCCGGUGUAGUGGUGAAAUGCGUAGAUAUCGGGAGGAACACCAGUGGCGAAGGCGACUAUCUGGGCUGCAACUGACGCUGAGGCGCGAAGGCUAGGAUAGCAAACAGG
rnacentral:rRNA from 1 species